GAGUGGCGCACGGGUGAGUAACGCGUAAGUAAUCUACCCUGGCAUCUGGAAUAACUCACCGAAAGGUGUGCUAAUACCGGAUACGUUGAUUUAUCAAGAAAGGUGGCCUCUUCAUGAAAGCUACUGUGCUGGGAGGAGCUUGCGUACCAUUAGCUAGUUGGUGGGGUAAUGGCCUACCAAGGCGACGAUGGUUAGCGGGUCUGAGAGGAUGAUCCGCCACACUGGAACUGGAACACGGACCAGACUCCUACGGGAGGCAGCAGUGAGGAAUAUUGCGCAAUGGGGGAAACCCUGACGCAGCGACGCCGCGUGGAUGAUGAAGGCUUUCGGGUCGUAAAAUCCUGUCAGAUGGGAAGAAAUGCUAUAUGCCUAAUAUGUGUAUAGUUUGACGGUACCAUCAAAGGAAGCACCGGCUAACUCCGUGCCAGCAGCCGCGGUAAUACGGAGGGUGCAAGCGUUGUUCGGAAUUACUGGGCGUAAAGCGCGCGUAGGCGGCUUUUUAAGUCAGAUGUGAAAGUCCACGGCUCAACCGUGGAAGUGCAUUUGAUACUGGGAAGCUUGAGUACUGGAGGGGAUGGUGGAAUUCCCGGUGUAGAGGUGAAAUUCGUAGAUAUCGGGAGGAAUACCGGUGGCGAAGGCGACCAUCUGGCCAGAUACUGACGCUGAGGUGCGAAAGCGUGGGGAGCAAACAGGAUUAGAUACCC
rnacentral:rRNA from 1 species